rnacentral:rRNA from 1 species
ACGAACGCUGGCGGCAUGCCUAACCCAUGCCAGUCGAACGAGACCUUCGGGUCUAGUGGCGCACGGGUGCGUAACGCGUGGGAACCUGCCCUUAGGUUCGGAAUAACUCCCCGAAAGGGGUGCUAAUACCGGAUAAUGUCUUCGGACCAAAGAUUUAUCGCCUUUGGAUGGGCCCGCGUUGGAUUAGCUAGUUGGUAGGGUAAAAGCCUACCAAGGCGACGAUCCAUAGCUGGUCUGAGAAGAUGAUCAGCCACACUGGGACUGAGACACGGCCCAGACUCCUACGGGAGGCAGCAGUGGGGAAUAUUGGACAAUGGGCGAAAGCCUGAUCCAGCAAUGCCGCGUGAGUGAUGAAGGCCUUAGGGUUGUAAAGCUCUUUUACCCGGGAUGAUAAUGACAGUACCGGGAGAAUAAGCUCCGGCUAACUCCGUG